GCUCAUGAAAUUUGGUGAUGUGACUCGGAUAGGGGGACCUCCCUUGGGAGAUCAGUACCCUGUCCUCCUGCUCUUUGCUCCGUGAGAAAGAUCCACCUACAACCUCAGGUCCUUAGACCAACCAGCCCAAGAAACAUCUCACCAAUUUCAAAUCCAGACCCCACUGGAAAUCGGACUGUCCAACUCACCUGACAGCCACUCCCACAGCCGCUGGAACUCUGGCCCAAGGCUCUCUGACUCCUUCCCAGAUCUUCUUGGCUUAGCGGCUGAAGACUGACGCUGCCCGAUCGCCUCGGAAGCCCCCUAGACCAUCACGGACGCCGAGCUUCGGGUAACUCUCACAGUGGAAGAAACACAACUACAGAUUUCUACCUGGUGCAUGGCCAUCGCUCAUGAAGACUACAACUUCCAGCUUCCUUUGAAGAAAAAGAGGACUUGAUGGCAUUGUCGCUAAGUAAGAAAUAAUGUGUGUGACUUCAGGGUUGCCCCCUUAAAGGGAGGGGACAUUUUCCAUCCUGCUGUUCAGAGUAUGGAUGUGAUGAGAGACAUCUUGGAUGAUGCAGAGGAGGUGAACACCCCAGGACAAUGAAACCACAGGAGAGAAAGAGCCUGCGCUGGCCCAUCUAGCACAGCCACUGGACACAGGGACCACCUGCCUCUGCACUCUUAUGGAAGGAGGAAAUCUAACUUUCCCAGUUUAAGGCACUGUUACUUUGGGCUCCUGUUACAUAACUGUGGCAGAAUGAAGGUUCAACAUGGAAACUGGCAAUGUUGAAGAAACAUAAAGUUCAUUGCUUGAAUAUCUGAAGUUGUGGACUCAAUCUCAUACCUGCUCCACUUAUGAGUUAUAGACUGGGUCUCACUCUGUCAUCUAGGCUGGAGUGCAGUGGUACAAUCAUGGCACACUGCAGCCUCAACCUCAUGGGCUCAGGUGAUCCUCCUGCCUCAGCCUCUCAAGCAGCUGAGACUACAGGAAAACCAAACAUUGUCAAGAGGAGAGGAAGCCUGAGAGUUGGCAUGAAUCAGAGUGCUGGGCAGUCUGGAGUCUUCCCCACCAUAAAAUGUAGGGCCAGUCCUACAUUUUAUCAAUGACUUGCGUGAACACAGAAAAUGUGGAUACAACCAAAAGGUAACAAUCCAAUUAAAAAAUGGACAAAAAACUUGAAUAAACAUUUCUCAAAAGAAGAUAUACAAAUGAUCAAAAAGCAUAUGAAAAAAUGCUCAACAUCGCUAAUUGUAAGAGAAAUGCAAAUCAAAACUAUAAUGAGAUACCACCUUAUAUUGAUUAGGAAGACUGCUAUAAAAAUAGUAAACAAACAAACAAACAAAGUAAGUCUUGGGGAGGAUGCAGAGAAAUUAAAAUUUUUGUGCACUGUUAGUGGGAAUGUAAAAUGGUGCAGCUGUUACGGGAAACGGUAUGA
rnacentral:sRNA from 1 species